rnacentral:rRNA from 1 species
GACGAACCUUGCUAACGUUAUUCGGAAUUACUGGGCUUAAAGGGCGCGUAGGCGGCCAGCACAAGUCAGUUGUGAAAUCUCCGGGCUUAACUCGGAAAGGUCAACUGAUACUGUGCGGCUAGAGUGCAGAAGGGGCAACUGGAAUUCUCGGUGUAGCGGUGAAAUGCGUAGAUAUCGAGAGGAACACCUGCGGCGAAGGCGGGUUGCUGGGCUGACACUGACGCUGAGGCGCGAAAGCCAGGGGAGCGAACGGG